rnacentral:rRNA from 1 species
UAGGGAAUCUUCGGCAAUGGACGAAAGUCUGACCGAGCAACGCCGCGGGAGUGAAGAAGGUUUUCGGAUCGUAAAACUCUGUUGUUAGAGAAGAACAAGGACGUUAGUAACUGAACGUCCCCUGACGGUAUCUAACCAGAAAGCCACGGCUAACUACGUGCCAGCAGCCGCGGUAAUACGUAGGUGGCAAGCGUUGUCCGGAUUUAUUGGGCGUAAAGCGAGCGCAGGCGGUUUCUUAAGUCUGAUGUGAAAGCCCCCGGCUCAACCGGGGAGGGUCAUUGGAAACUGGGCGACUUGAGUGCAGAAGAGGAGAGUGGAAUUCCAUGUGUAGCGGUGAAAUGCGUAGAUAUAUGGAGGAACACCAGUGGCGAAGGCGGCUCUCUGGUCUGUUACUGACGCUGAGGCUCGAAAGCGUGGGGAGCAAACAGG